ensembl:snoRNA
CUUCAGUGAUGACUUCCAUUUUGAGCCACAGGUGUGGGCCACUGAUUUAGAAA